rnacentral:rRNA from 1 species
GACGAACGCUGGCGGCGUGCUUAACACAUGCAAGUCGAACGGAAAGGCCCUGCUUUUGUGGGGUGCUCGAGUGGCGAACGGGUGAGUAACACGUGAGUAACCUGCCCUUGACUUUGGGAUAACUUCAGGAAACUGGGGCUAAUACCGGAUAGGAGCUCCUGCUGCAUGGUGGGGGUUGGAAAGUUUCGGCGGUUGGGGAUGGACUCGCGGCUUAUCAGCUUGUUGGUGGGGUAGUGGCUUACCAAGGCUUUGACGGGUAGCCGGCCUGAGAGGGUGACCGGCCACAUUGGGACUGAGAUACGGCCCAGACUCCUACGGGAGGCAGCAGUGGGGAAUAUUGCACAAUGGGCGGAAGCCUGAGGCAGCAACGCCGCGUGCGGGAUGACGGCCUUCGGGUUGUAAACCGAUUUCGCCUGUGACGAAGCGUGAGUGACGGUAAUGGGUAAAGAAGCACCGGCUAACUACGUG